CGCAGUGUAGCAAUACAUGGGCGGCGACCGGCAAACGGGUGCGGAACACGUACACAACCUUCCUUUAAAUGGGGAAUAGCCCAGGGAAACUUGGAUUAAUACCCCGUAACAUUAUGGAGUGGCAUCACUUUAUAAUUAUAGCUACGGCGUUUAAAGAUGGGUGUGCGGCUGAUUAGGUAGUUGGCGGGGUAACGGCCCACCAAGCCUGCGAUCAGUAACUGGUGUGAGAGCACGACCAGUCACACGGGCACUGAGACACGGGCCCGACUCCUACGGGAGGCAGCAGUAAGGAAUAUUGGGCAAUGGACGCAAGUCUGGCCCAGCCAUGCCGCGUGGAGGAUGAAGGUCCUCUGGAUUGUAAACUUCUUUUCUCUGGGGCGAAAAACAGGUAUUCUUACUUGCUUGACAGUACCAGAGGAAUAAGCACCGGCUAACUCCGUGCCAGCAGCCGCGGUAAUACGGAGGGUGCAAGCGUUAUCCGGAUUCACUGGGUUUAAAGGGUGCGUAGGUGGGUUGGUAAGUCAGUGGUGAAAUCUCCGGGCUUAACCUGGAAACUGCCAUUGAUACUAUCAAUCUUGAAUACCUUGGAGGUGAGCGGAAUAUGUCAUGUAGCGGUGAAAUGCUUAGAUAUGACAUAGAACACCAAUUGCGAAGGCAGCUCACUACACGGUCAUUGACACUGAGGCACGAAAGCGUGGGGAUCAAACAGGAUUAGAUACCCUGGUAGUCCACGCCCUAAACGAUGGAUACUCGACAUCAGCGAUACACUGUUGGUGUCUGAGCGAAAGCAUUAAGUAU
rnacentral:rRNA from 1 species